UUCCGGUUGAUCCUGCCGGAGGCUACUGCUAUUGGAAUUCGACUAAGCCAUGCGAGUCAAGGUGUCUUCGGACGCCGGCAUACGGCUCAGUAACACGUAGGUAACCUACCCUCAGGACUGAGAUAACCCCGGGAAACUGGGGCUAAUAUUAGAUAGAUAAAAGAUACUGGAAUGUUCUUUUAUCCAAAGCUUUUGCGCCUGAGGAUGGGCCUGCGCCCGAUUAGGUUGUUGGUGGGGUAAUGGCCCACCAAGCCUACGAUCGGUACGGGCAGUGGGAGCUGUAGCCCGGAGUUGGGGACUGAGACAAGGCCCCAGGCCCUACGGGGCGCAGCAUGCGCGAAACCUCUG
rnacentral:rRNA from 1 species